CCUACGGGCGGCAGCAGUGGGGAAUAUUGCACAAUGGGGGAAACCCUGAUGCAGCGACGCCGCGUGAGUGAAGAAGUAUUUCGGUAUGUAAAGCUCUAUCAGCAGGGAAGAUAAUGAUGGUACCUGACUAAGAAGCCCCGGCUAACUACGUGCCAGCAGCCGCGGUAAUACGGAGGGGGCAAGCGUUAUCCGGAUUGACUGGGUGUAAAGGGUGCGUAGGUGGCAGGGCAAGUCAGACGUGAAAACCACAGGCUCAACCUGUGGACUGCGUUUGAAACUGUGGGGCUUGAGUGAAGUAGAGGUAGGCGGAAUUCCCGGUGUAGCGGUGAAAUGCGUAGAGAUCGGGAGGAACACCAGUGGCGAAGGCGGCCUACUGGGCUUUAACUGACGCUGAGGCACGAAAGCAUGGGUAGCAAACAGGAUUAGAUACCCUGGUAGUC
rnacentral:rRNA from 1 species